rnacentral:lncRNA from 1 species
AAAUAACUAUUCUGAAUUUUAUGUUUUUCACUAGUAUAUAUGAAUGCAUCGACACAUUUUUUUCAGAAUGUGUGUUCCCUCUGCAACAAUACUAAAUGCAAAUUGAGGUACAUGAAGUUUAAAAGUGGCGGUGGUACAAGAGUGAAAAAAAAAAACAGAUCUCAACUGACAACAAUUAAACAAACCAGACAAAUUUAUUGUAUAAUUUACUUACAACAAAAACAAGGCCUAAUAAUCAUUUUGAAUAUCCUGGCUUGAAUGAAAAUGAAUAAAAUCUGCCCCACAUAAUAUUAAUAAAUAAAUAAUAUUUGUGUGAAUAAUCGAAGAAAAAAAAUCCUUCCGCAUUAAAUUUUUCGUCGUCCUCUUAGUGUCAUACUACAAAUAUUAUAUAAAGAAACAACAUUUGUAAUCAAAUGCAUAUGGUAUUACGGAGUGUCGGUGCCUUUUUGUAUAUUUGUGACUGGACAGAAAAUGACUAUUUUCAUAUGUAUUUAACUUUCAUAUUUUGUACUAAAUGUGCUUUGUGUACUUGCACAUGUAUAGUUUAGCUUCCGAUUCGUUUAUAAAUGCCUCUGCAAGUCGGAUCACCUUAUGAGAUAUUUUGACCCCUCUACAUCUUCUUCUGCCGUUCUUCUUCUCGUGGCACCAAUGAAUCCAAACCCAUACCAUAAUAUCUACAUGUAGGUCGCAAAAUCCAAUGGUCGAGAGACGUUGCCAACAUCAAUUCCCAUCCCCUCUAUUAGGUCACAGGAAUAAAGAAAUUGAAACCUCAUUUUGUCCUUUUCAGAGCCCGAAGCAACUUACCAAAAAAUAAGGCAGGAUGACAAUUUAUUUAAAAAAAAAUCAGUAUGAAACAAAUAAAGAAAGGCAGGACCGAGCAGAGUGAAAAAUAAAAAAGACAGAACAGAAAAUAAAACUAACAAAAUGCAGUUCAAAAUUUUUCAUCCUUGCCC